ensembl:lncRNA
UCCGAGGUUUCUAGAGCGGACCCGGAAAUGACGCCAGGGGAUGCAAACCCUUCUUCCCCUUUUUGCUGCCCCUGAAGCUUACCGUUAGUGGUCAAGUUUUACUGGAAGCGGGCUUUCGCUAUCGCGGGGACCAACGCCCUGAGCUUUUGUGCCCAAACGGGAUCGCCAGGUUCUUUGAUGCGGAUCGAAAGGGGCCGGGCCUCGGAGCCUACAACCUGACCCAGGUGGGACUUGGAGAAAUGUCGAGAAACCUAGGUCUGGGACUUGAGUUGGCUUCCAGGGCACACAUUCUUGUUCAGAAGAAACACACUGCAAAAAUCGGGAGGUGACGGGCAGAUGAAGGCACCUAUGUGUCGGUGCUUCGCCUCCGGACUCCAAUGCAACCUACGGGCUUUUGGAAAGGAGGAAGUCGAUGACUCUGCAGGGACUCCUCUGGUCCAGGAGCAGAUGGCUUUUGUCUGGGCACUCCCCAGCAGAAAAGGUGCAUCGGGAAGCAGCCUGGCUUGUGGAUGGUAACCUGCUUUGCUCAGAAAGGGAGAUCAGGAGACCAGGUGAUGCUGCAGCAAAUGUCAGAGUUGAGUCCUAGGUGAUGCUUCCUCAUGAGUGGUGCAGGAUGAAGAAACUGAACAGGGCCAUGAUCCUUAUCUGUAAUUUCCUGGCUGCCACUUUGCUUUGGUGCUCUUCCCUCAUCUCUUCCUGGGUAGAAAUAGAACUGCCUGGAGAUCCCAAUGUUCUUGUCAGCGCACUUUUCAUGGACUGCAGUGGUAAGACGAUGUAUUGGAUGCCCAAACACAAGUCAACCAACUUCAUACUGGGUGGAAUUUCUAUGAUUAGUGCCCUUCUCCUCUCAUUCUGCUUGAACUUUUUGUUGCUGACCUUCCCUCAGUUAUUCCCUGAGACCCAGAAACAGUAUAUUUUCUGUGCAUCCAUCUGCAUUGUCACAGGAGCCCUCUGCCUUUGCAAUUCCCAGUGCUGUGGAGCUGUCAGAGUUUUAACAUCUCAACCAAGCCACAUGGAUACUAUUUCCUCAGAAAAGACAAAAUUGAUUCAAGCAGAAGAGUGA